UGAGUUUUCAAAGGACCCAAAGGACCCAACACUUGCCACUGAUUGGCCCCUGACUUAGUUUCCCAAAACUGUGCUCCCUUGUCUGCCUGUCUAGCUCCAAGCCCUGGUCUCUGUGUGUGAGUUAUCAGGACAUAUAGCGUUGCCUGCAGUGCAGUUUGCAGAGGCCACUCUAGGUCCUGGGUGGGUGAGUGGCCCUUGGUUGGGAGAAUGAAAACCCAGCGUCCUGAUUCCUGGUCAGCCCUCUCCACGUGACCUCAAACCAACAUUGGGACUGACGUCUUCCAUGCGAAGCCACGUAGGAGCUGCCCCUGACCUCCACGGUGCCCGGAGCUGCGCUGGAGUCUGGGUUAAAGGCCAGAGCACAUCGCACCAACAGGGCACCAGCAGGGUCACCGGAGCGACUCCUACCGGGACCGGCGGUGGUAAUGUCCCUGCCGGGUCCCACGAGGAUGCGGGGCAACGGCCCAGCCCAGCGCAGACCCCGGGUCUCCCCCUCCGGCAGUGUUCUCAAGUUCUGCCUGAGUUUUCCUGUCUGGCUCGCGCAGGAAGCUGAACCCCUAGGGGUCCGGGCAGAGGCCCGCCUGCGCUCUUGCUGAAGACCAGGGACGCUGCCAGAUGACAGGAAGACAGCGGCAGGACAGACGGACGGGGAUCUGACAGUCACAGAGCUGCUUGCUGCUCCCCCGCACGCGGGGCUGAGCCCAGAGGUUUCUCUGAUGCUGCGGAGCUGGGCUUUGGGGCCGCCACAGAGGAGCAGCGGACGCCAUUGAUCCUCAGUGGCCAGGCGGGAACAAGAACACCGCGGCCUGGCUGACACCUGCCUCGUCCCUCCCUGACGCGAGCUCCCGGGGCUCGCUUGUCUGCCACCUGCCUGCACAGCCGGGCCCCCUGGCGAUGGGAUGUAAAUGUAUGAAUCAGCCAGGCAGCCCCAGCGGCAGAACCUUUCUCUAGGCGAAGCAAUUUGCAGCAAAAUAUGCUGUAAAUAUUUGCUCAGCUCAGGAAAAUGACUUUAAUUGCAUAAUUAAACUUGUUGUCAAUGCUGCUUCCGGACAAAAUGACUGGGGAGAAGCUGGGACCACAGCUGGCCCUCUGAGAUUGUGGAAUAGAGGGGCUGUUUACAAAGACUGCCCUGGCCCUGUCUUUCCUCCCUGAAAUGGGGGUUUUGAGAUCAGUCAGGGGGGAAGGAGGAAGGGGCUCAGAGAGAGGAGAGAGGGGAAAAGUUCCCCAAAUCAGAGAACCAGCCGCAAAGGGACCCCCAGGCCCUGGGGCAGAACUGCCCCUGAGUUUUCCGAAUGCCCUGUGCACACCCCACCUCCCGUGGGUCACGGGUAACUUGAGCAGAUAACCCCUCGCUGAAGAAGAACGCAAUCAGUAGGUUGAAAGAAACUUGCUUUAGAAGAAAACAUUGCAUUCCAGCCAUUAAUGAAAAGCCAGGAUUCCUUGAUAAGGUGGUUACCACACAAACACAGCGCGUAGCCAGGCCCAGAAGGCCGGCCACAGGCUGGCAAACCCACAAAAAGACGGGUGGUCCCCGGGGCCCGGGGAAGUGGCACCGGGAGUGACUGCUGAUGGAGCAGGGCUACUUUUUGGGGUGAUGACAUGUUCUAAAACUAGAUUGUGGCAAAGGCUGCUCAUUCCUGUGACUAUAUUAAAAACCACCGAAUUGUACGUUUUAAUUGGGUGAAUUUUAUGGUAUGUCAAUGACAGCUCCAUCAAGUAGUUUUACAAAAGAAUAAAAUGGAAAACAAAAUUGCCUCUCAGCUUGCAUUAGAAGCCAGCUGUUUACCGAAGGCUCUGAGCUGGGGGCCUGCACCCAUCUUGUCAAACAACAGAGGAGCACAGACGAGGGCGGCACUGGGGCGGGCAGAGAGACCAGGAGGACUCGGAGGAAGGGCACUGACUUUCUCAUUGUGGGGAUCCAUGUCAAGGCCCAUGAACAUCUCCAAAUGGUCACUGAGCAUUUUAAAAAUCAUCUCCCCCCA